rnacentral:rRNA from 1 species
GACGAACGCUGGCGGCGUGCUUAACACAUGCAAGUCGAACGGAAAGGCCCUGCUUUUGUGGGGUACUCGAGUGGCGAACGGGUGCGUAACACGUGAGUAACCUGCCCUUGACUUUGGGAUAACUUCAGGAAACUGGGGCUAAUACCAGCUAGGAGCUCCUGCUGCUUGUUGGUGGUUGGAAAGUUUCGGCGGUUGGGGAUGGACUCGCGGCUUAUCGGCUUGUUGGUGGGGUAGUGGCUUACAAAGGUUUUGACGGGUAGCCGGCCUGAGAGGGUGACCGGCCACAUUGGGACUGAGAUAGGGCCCAGACUCCUACGGGAGGCAGCAGUGGGGAAUAUUGCACAAUGGGCGGAAGCCUGAUGCAGCAACGCCGCGUGCGGGAUGACGGCCGUCGGGUUGUAAACCGCUUUCGCGUGUGACGAAGCGUGAGUGACGGUAAUGGGUAAAGAAGCAACGGCUAACUACGUG